rnacentral:rRNA from 1 species
CAGCAGCCGCGGUAACACAGAGGAUGCAAGCGUUAUCCGGAAUGAUUGGGCGUAAAGCGUCUGUAGGUGGCUUUUCAAGUCCGCCGUCAAAUCCCAGGGCUCAACCCUGGACAGGCGGUGGAAACUACCAAGCUGGAGUACGGUAGGGGCAGAGGGAAUUUCCGGUGGAGCGGUGAAAUGCGUAGAGAUCCGGAGGAAUACCGGUGGCGAAGGCGGCCCCCUGGACAAAGACUGACGCUCAGGUGCGAAAGCGUGGGGAGCAAACAGGAUUAGAUACCCCCGUAGUCCCUGUCUCUUAUAC